UUAUGAUUCUAGAAUGUAGAAUUUUGAUGAACUGAGCAGAGGGGGUUAGUUUUAUGGGCAGAAAAAGACUGAAGAAAGCAGGAAAAGAGAAUGAAAAGAGAAUUGGUCCUUUCACAGUUAUUUUCUUAUAGGAUUAAAUUAGAGGGACUCCAUUAUGCAGCUCAGAUGGCCCCAGCUGAAGUCUACUGGCACAAAGGACACAGAGGUUUCCUAACAGGAUCUACCUAUGAGGACAUUUCUGAACUGAUGAUACAGGUUUAAUACCAGCACUUAGAUGGUCACAAAAGAAGAUUCAUUUCAACCACAUAUGUGGCCUGUGAUUCUGCUGGUGGGCAUGAUUUGAGGAUAGUUGGGAGCAUCUGUGUGGAGCACCUUUGGCCAAGAAUAACACUGGGAAAGUUGUAUUGUCCUUAUUUAAAAGAUCUCCUGCACCUUUGAAUGGGACUAAGCUGGAUAUCACUGAGGCAGAAAGUGAGAAUGAAAAUAACU
rnacentral:lncRNA from 10 species